rnacentral:rRNA from 1 species
GACGAACGCUGGCGGCGUGCCUAAUACAUGCAAGUAGAACGCACAGGAUGCACCGUAGUUUACUACACCGUAUUCUGUGAGUUGCGAACGGGUGAGUAACGCGUAGGUAACCUGCCUGGUAGCGGGGGAUAACUAUUGGAAACGAUAGCUAAUACCGCAUAAGAACAUUUACUGCAUGGUAGAUGUUUAAAAGGUGCAAAUGCAUCACUACCAGAUGGACCUGCGUUGUAUUAGCUAGUAGGUGAGGUAACGGCCCACCUAGGCGACGAUACAUAGCCGACCUGAGAGGGUGAUCGGCCACACUGGGACUGAGACACGGCCCAGACUCCUACGGGAGGCAGCAGUAGGGAAUCUUCGGCAAUGGGGGGAACCCUGACCGAGCAACGCCGCGUGAGUGAAGAAGGUUUUCGGAUCGUAAAGCUCUGUUGUUAAGGAAGAACGAGUGUGAGAAUGGAAAGUUCAUACUGUGACGGUACUUAACCAGAAAGGGACGGCUAACUACGUGCCAGCAGCCGCGGUAAUACGUAGGUCCCGAGCGUUGUCCGGAUUUAUUGGGCGUAAAGCGAGCGCAGGCGGUUAGAUAAGUCUGAAGUUAAAGGCAGUGGCUCAACCAUUGUAGGCUUUGGAAACUGUUUAACUUGAGUGCAGAAGGGGAGAGUGGAAUUCCAUGUGUAGCGGUGAAAUGCGUAGAUAUAUGGAGGAACACCGGUGGCGAAAGCGGCUCUCUGGUCUGUAACUGACGCUGAGGCUCGAAAGCGUGGGGAGCGAACAGG